AAUAAAUACAGUUUUAACACGGUUCAUGCUCAAUGUUUCAUCGUUCGUCUUAUUUGAAAAACAAUUAUGAUUAGUAUUAUUAUUAUUAUUAUUAUUAUUAUUAGAUGAUAAUGCAUGAAUAGUACUUUAUGUGUGACUAAUAUUUUUAAUUUUUUUCAUAAAAUUUUUAAAUAAGACGGACAGUCAAAAAUAUUGAAUAUAUAUCUAUGGCUGUAUUUAUU
rnacentral:pre_miRNA from 1 species